rnacentral:lncRNA from 1 species
GUUGGGGUCCCGCCGUCCUGAGGCUCGAGCUCUUGCGGGUCGAUCGGUCGGCGGGGCCUGCGCGGGGCCCGGGCCCAUGGCGGCGUCGGCGGCUCUGUCUGCGGCGGCGGCGGCGGCAGCCCUGUCUGGCUUGGCGGUUCGGCUGUCGCGCUCGGCGGCGGCCCGAGGCUCAUACGGCGCCUUCUGCAAGGGGCUCACGCGCACGCUGCUCACCUUCUUCGACCUGGCCUGGCGGCUGCGCAUGAACUUCCCCUACUUCUACAUCGUGGCCUCGGUGAUGCUCAACGUCCGCCUGCAAGUGCGGAUCGAGUGAGCGCCGGCGGCGGCGGCGGCCGCGGAGGCCCGGCUGGAGGGGCGACAGUGUCCCCGCCCGCCCCCGGCCGGGUCGCGGGCAUGAAGGACAGCUGGAUCGCGGCGGGGGGCGGAGGUGGGGCGGCCCGGGCCCCUGGACUCUAGACCUACGCCGCCCGGGCACGAAGGCCCAGCCCUGGCCCUGGCCGCGGUCUCAGCCCGGGACCCCGGAUCGCGCAGAAAUGCACUGAACAGGCCCCUACAAUUGGGCUCCAGAAACUACCUGAGCUCGGACUACCUGUUGCCUCACAUUGGCAAAAGAGGGGGAAACCAGAAGGAGGGAAUUCUGCUGCGGCGACUUGACUUUCCCCGCCCCGAGCAGAAAGGUAGGAGGCGACAGGUUGGAAUGGGGGAGGGGCUGUGGCUCUGCCCUGCAGAGGUCGGGGCGCCUUGGCAGUUGGGGGGAAAUAUGGAAGGCACCGGAGCAAACCAGCCCGAAGAGCUGUGGAGCCCAGGUGGGGAAAGGAAAGGCAGCCGCAGGCUCUCCCCUCCUCCCCAGUCAUGAUUGCAGGAUAGGGUGAGGGGCAGCCGCCUCCCGCUCAUUCCCCAGUGCCGGCCUCCCUUUCCGCAGAGGCCCCCAGGGUGUCCACUGAAACCUGGGGAAUGGAAGGUAGUGGGCUGGGGGCGGCCCCGGGAAGGCCCUAGAGGAGCAACGAUGCCCCCACCCUUCUCUUCCCCACCAGUCGGUGGGCAUAGGGAGGACGGUUCUCUUCUAGGCCGAGCCCUACGUCUGUUCUCUUCUCAGCCCUCAGCCCUGGGUCUCUCUGCAGCUCCUGCACAGCCCUUGGCAAAACUGCCUCCUGCCCUGUCUUUGGGGCCAGAGGACUGGUCUCUCCCUGCUCCUGCUGUCCGUCGUGUUCCCCUGCCCCUACCUGAGGGCACCCUGCAAGCUUUGCAUUUGGAGACUGGGAAGAGUGGGAGAGACGCAUUCCUACCGUCCCCUCCCCCCACAGUCUUGCUCUUCCGCCAUGUCAGCCCAUGCUCCCUAAGGACCGUAGCUAGCAAGGCCCUCCCAGGGCCAGAGUCCCAUCCUCCAGCCCCAGACGGCCUCGAGAAGCCCACUGUGUACUGAAGUGAUCUGGGAAAAAGAGACCUCCCUGAGCACACAGCAGCUCUCAGCCUGGGGUGGGCAGAGCAGAUGGAGGAGGGGCUUGCAGAGGAGGCCAUUCCUGGGGGAAGCAAGGACGUAUCUGGUGGCCAGGCAACUGAGGUCCCCAUCUCUUUCUUUCUCUUUCAGGCAUUGACGUUUGUAGGCGGUGACCCGCCCCUUCUCUGGCCUUGCCAAGAGUCUCAUCCCUACCCUGGGGCACCUCUGACCCUGGACCUGCUUGGGCAGAGGCAGCGUGAAGGGCCUGAACAAGAGGAGAAGAAGGGCCUUCCUAGUAGAGGCACAGCAUGGACAAAGGCUCACAGGGGUGGGGGUGCCCAGUGAUCGAGUCCUGGCUUGGGAGGGAAGGUCUGAGUUCCCUGGGAACUGAAAUCGGCUAGCAGCACUGUGAGAGAGGUGUAUUUCCCCCUCCUAAUGACAGAGGAAACCGAGGCUUCGGGGAGGGGGGGAUUUGCCCUUGACAUGCAGAUAGGAUGAGGAGGAACUGCGUGUGCCCCUGGGCCUGCAGGCUCCCACACCCCUCCCCAGUCUUCUCCAAGACCUGGCAUGAUGGGAGGAGGGAGGGGAAAGUGAAGAGGGAAGCAUAGGGCUCCUAGGGCACCAAGGGAGAGGGGCCCAAGGGUAGGGAAUCUGGGGAUCUCGCUUUCUUUGGAGCAGUACAGAAGAUCACAGGAAAGAUUAGGACAGACAGCUGAGAUGGCAGACAGGAGAGAUGGGCCCCAGGAUCCCUGGGGAGCCAAGCUUUCCCCCACAGCCUAGCCUCCCCACCCCACCUGGAGCUUCACCAAGGGCUUUUCAGCAGUGAAGUGGCACAAACCUCCCAGUUUGGUGGGCAAGUGGGGCUGAUGGUGGUGUCAUGGCUCCUGGAGACACGACAUAACCAGGAGGGUGAAGGGAUAAACCUGGGGUGGGCUGGGGCUGAGACCCAUGGCAUGACCCCAAUUCUCUCUCCUCAAGCUCGACCCCCCCGCCAUCCCCAGGAUCACACAGGAGAAUCUCAUCCUCACGGCUUGGAUUGGUCCUGGGGGCCCCCGGUUGUGCUGCUAACUGGUGUACAAUGCUCAAGAGCAGCCCAGAGGGGAGCCAGGAAGGGACCCUCGCCCUCACCUGCUAUCCCCAUUUCCGCAUCUCUUGCACUGGUACCCUGAGGGCCACAUUCUCAGUUCCUGGGAUUGAAAACUGCAGCAGUCUGGCCAGCUCCAGGGACAGAGUGAUCCAACCACCUACCACGUACCCUCCUCAGCAGGCCACUGGACCCAGGUCCUGAAUGAAGCUGUCCGCCUGCCUCACCCCAGAAGAGGCUGGACAGUGGCUGCCUCGUGCCCCCUGCAGUCUCCCACAGCCAGGGCCCGAUGGGGUGCCUCCUUGUCCCAAGUCUCCUGAGAACCCCUGACCUUGCUGGCCUCUCUCAUCCGCCCCAACCCUGUCCACCCUUGACCACCUCUGGGGGCCUGUCAGCCUGCUGGUCCCCCCAACAGAUCUCUGGGGGCAGCCUCUGUGGGACAAGAGUGAUACAGAGCUGGAGGAGAAGAGGAGUGAGGGGCCUCCUUGUGUCUGAUGCACAGAUGUGGCCCUUUCAAACCCUGGUGUCACCCUCUGGGUGACUGGAUCCCUAGCUCCAGCCUCUUCCUGGGCCAGCCAGGAAGGGUGGAGGAAAGUUCUUUGCUGAUUGCAUGUGUGAUACAGUGGGGGGUGCCUGAGCCCUCCCCAUGCAAGGGGCUCAUCCUGGGACUCUGGAAGCUGCUUCCCUACUGGGAGAAAUGUGUGUCGGAGCUGCAGGGGUCCCUACCCUCAGAGACCCCCGACUGCAGGGAACCCACCCCAUAAGAGGGUCACGGAUGUCCAUGUCCGCCCACCCCCCGUGGCUUCUGCUGUGGCUAUAUUGGCCUAGAGGGGCUGACUGGGGAGGAGCAGGGCUAAGCCCUCAGCAUUUGCUCCUGUCCCUGCCUUUUCACCCCUGCUGCCUGAAGUGGUAGCCCCGCCUGCUGCUUCUCUACCUCCCCUCCCCACCUCUUCUCUCCCCUACAGGGCCCUUGCUGCGUGAUGGGGUCUCCAUGCACUUUAUUUAUUUGCAGUCUGUUUUCUAGGCGGUGGAGCUUCUAGACACCGACCGGAAUGACAUACGUUUCUGUGUGUGAUUCACUGUGUACUGGUCAGCACAGGCUGGCCAGAGAGAUGUUCUUGUUUCUGGUGUUGUCACGUCUUCUUGUUUUCUCUAAGUUUAAAAAAAAAAAAAAGUCCUUGGUUUAAUACACUAAAAUCCCAACUGGAGGCCUUCCGUGUCUGGUGGGGGUGAUGCAAUGGCCCCAGGUGGAGAGAGGCCCCAUGGUGAGGUCACCGGCUCCCAUGGCAAGGUCACCGGCUCCCAUGGCCAGGAGCUGGCAGGGAAAAGCCUCUGAGGAGUAGGGCUGGGGGAGGCUGUGGCAGGGACCGUGUUUCCUGUUCAGAGGCUGUGCUGAGAACCGACUUGACCCAGACCACUGCCCCAUGAGAAGCAGGCAGCAGCCUGGCCUGGCCCUGAGAGGUGGCUGCUUGUCCUGUUGACAGUCUCUGUUCAAAUGACCCAAAACAUAAGUCCUCUUCCGUUUUAGAGUCUGGUGAUCAAAAGUGCCUAAGUCAGUAGAAUCCUGAGGGUGGACUAGGGUGAAGUGAACUGAAACAGACUCCACGCAGGUCAUUUCGUGUAGCGCUGAGACCCUUCUCCCUGCCUGAGGUCACCUCCCACUGCCUCCCUACCAGCCAGGUUACUGCAGAACCCUGGAGAAGAUAAAGGACCUGGCCCUAGAAGCCUCCUUCCCUUCCCCAGCCUUGGAGGCAAACUCUGUCCCAUCAGAGUCCCCCUCCUUAGUGGCUCCCACAGGAGAGAGCUCCCUAAUGGCUGCUGUAAGGGUUGGCAAGCAGGCAAAAGGUGGGAGAGGGAAGGCCGAGGGGAGUGUUAGAGGAAGAUGCCUAGGUGAGAGGCAUCCUGAGGACACAGGGCUAUGCUCAGACUCAGGAGUGCAGUCUGAGUUUAGGGGCCCUGGGGGCACUCCUGUUGCCAAGGGCUACCCAGGGGUCACAGCACCCUGAUAAGAACCCCUCCAAAAGCACUAGUGCCAACAUCCUAUGGCAUCUGCCACCACAGGAGAAAUGGACCCCAGUCCCUGAGCUUCCCUCCCCUUUGUCUAGAUGGUCCUCUUCAGUCCCUGAUGGUCCCAUCCCCACUCCAGGGAUCACGUGACUUGGCAAACCAAGAUGGGGGAUGAUACCCCCAGAGCCUGGCUCCAAGGCCUCCUGAAGAGGCCCAUCCUUGCAACAGAGGAAGGGAAGGCAGGAAGGCCGGUUCUGCUCAAAUGGGACCCCAGGAGACCAAAGCCCUGAGCCGUGAAUCCAGCUCUUCCACUUACUACUGUAUGGUGCCAGGCAAACUGCACAACCUGGAGUUUUUAGUAAGGUUCCUUUGGGAUGCUUGUCAGCAGCGAAUACAAUGUCUGUUCAACGUUUGUCAUCAGCUCUCACCUGGAGAAGCCUUGUUACUGUGGGGAAAGGGAACCAAGUGAAGGGAACGGACAUCCGAUGAGAGCCUGCCAUGUGCCAGGCACCAUUCUAGGUGCUUUGCAUUCCUAAUCUCAUCAUAAUCCCACAACCACCUAACCUUUAUCUCCAUUUUACAGAGAAAUCAAGGACAGGAACCAAGUCUGAAAUAGAACCCCAAGCAGAAUCUCUUUUCCUGAGCUCCCAGUGCCCCUGGAGAGGCAGGGAAUUGGGCUGGAGUAAUGGUGGAAUGGAAUAGCAAAGGUGGAAGAUGACCCUGUUCUUUCUGGGUGGGGUCCAGGAGGCAGAUAAGAAAUCCAGGUGUGCCUGGGUGCGGUGGCUCAUGCCUGUAAUCCCAGCACUUUGGGAGGCCAAGGCGGGCGGAUCACAAGGUCAGGAGUUCAAGACCAGCCUGACCAACAUGGUGAAACCCCGUCUCUACUAAAAAUACAAAAAUUAGCUGGACGUGGUGGCGCAUGCCUAUAGUCCCAGCUACUUGGUUGGCUGAGGCAGGAGAAUCGCUUGAACCUGGGAGGCAGAGGUUGCAGUGAGCCAAGAUCUGGGCAACACAGUCAGACUCCGUCUGAAAAAAAAAAAAAAAAGAAAAAGAAAAGAAAAAUCCAGGGCUUGGAUGGGGGACAGACCUGGGAGCCCUCUCCAAAUGGAGCUCCCCAGUGGGCGCAGCUGGGGCCACCCUGAGAUGGGUUCACCUGUCUUUUCUCCAUCCUCCCUCCAGAGAUUGAUUGGGACCUAAGAGAUUGAGUCAGGAGAGGGCAAGAGAGCAGCUAAGCAGGCAGUUCCGGGGGCACCAGAGCAAAUACAUUAAGAAGUGGGAAAUAUAAAGAGCAUGCAAAACCUCAUCCUACUCCUGUUCACCCACCCACAAGGGAAACUGCUGCGUUUGGACAAAUUUCUACUUUGUGUUGGUGGAGGGAAGGAGAAAGAACAUACUACUUUGAAAACUUCUCCUCCCACUUCAUCUUUAUCUUUCCAUGUUAUUAGGUAUUUUUCUAUAUCCAAAGCCACCUAGUAGUCUCUUGUGUGAAGGUAUCAUGCAUUUCUCAUGCCUCUUGGUUGUUUCCCUUUAUUGUUUAUUUGGGGAGUUUGGUUUCUUGGUUGUUUGGUUUUUUUCUGUGGUUUUGUUUUUAUAAACAUUCCAGUAACAGAUAAGUUGGACCUCAUCAAAAUUA